GAGAGACGCUGGCGGCAUGCCUAAUACAUGCAAGUCGAACGCGGCCAUCCGGUGCUUGCACUGGUGAAGCCGAGUGGCGAACGGGUGAGUAACACGUGAGAAACCUGCCCUGGAGUGGGGAAUAACUCGAAGAAAUUCGAGCUAAUACCGCAUACCUUCUCUUCACCGCAUGGUGAGUUGAAGAAAGAUUUAUCGCUCUAGGAGGGUCUCGCGGCCUAUCAGCUAGUUGGUGAGGUAAUGGCUCACCAAGGCAUCGACGGGUAGCUGGUCUGAGAGGACGAUCAGCCACACUGGGACUGAGACACGGCCCAGACUCCUACGGGAGGCAGCAGUAGGGAAUCUUGCGCAAUGGGCGAAAGCCUGACGCAGCAAUGCCGCGUGCGGGACGAAGGCCCUAGGGUCGUAAACCGCUUUCAGUAGGGACGAAAAUGACGGUACCUGCAGAAGAAGCUCCGGCCAACUACGUG
rnacentral:rRNA from 1 species